rfam:Gonapodya prolifera JEL478 unplaced genomic scaffold M427scaffold_45, whole genome shotgun sequence.
GACAAGUCCUUCGGGACCUCUGUCAUCUAGAAAAUUGGAAACGAUACAGAGAAGAUUAGCAUGGCUCCCUGUGCAAGGAUGACACGCAAGUUCUGAGAUGGAUCUCAAAUUUUU